GCCAAAUCUGCCUUCUUCAGGAAACCUGCAUUUGUAAUAUUAGUCUAUUGCUAUGGAAAUUCUGAUGAACUUCCACAUACAACAUGAAUGGCUCACCUGCAGGAUCUAACAGAAAAAGAUGACCAGGUCUGUCUCUUCUAUGCUGAUGCCUCCUGUGGCUGAGGCUUGCUGGGACAUUUGGAAACUACUACUGCUACCGCUGGUACUACCACUACUACUCCCAGUGCCAAUUCCACUUGUACCACUGCCUGAAAGUUCCUCUGCUUCAACCCGUUUUCUCUUGCCUCGGGAAGAGCGAACAACCGAAGUGCUGGUGCUACUGCUGCUGGAGGUAGCCUUGGAGACCGUAACACGGGAGGACGGGCUUGGAGAGAGCUUCAACCUUAACGCAAUCAGACAGACAUUUUAACCAGAUGAAGAAGGCUGAAGUUAGAUUCUCAGGACUAGUCCAGGGGAUUAUUUGAGAGAAUUAAUCUAUACAAUAACAUGCCACAGUACACCAAUACCCUAGGCUUUUACAUGAACUGCUUUAAGGCAUGACGACAGAAGCAGGAGAAACACAGAGCCCUGCAACCUUUGGCAGAAGUUUUCGGUAAGCACUGAUCUCCAUGUCCAGCGCUAAUUUGACAUCAAGCAGUUCCUGGUAUUCUGCAAGCUGCUGCUGCAUCUGGUCCCUCAUUUCCAUCAUUUCCCUCUCCUUGGCAUCUAGCAUCUUCCUGAACUUGUCCUGCUCACCAGCCAUCAUAUCCUCCAGUUCCCGAAUGCGAUCUUCUGCAACACUAGCCUAUGGUCACAGUAAAACAAGAAAUCAACUUGGCAUGUGUAUGGAGACAGAGGAGGAUACGUGAUUUCCCUAUGACAGGGAGAACAGAAACUCCUGAUACACCACCUCAAACCAGAUAUUAUUUUAUAUACUUUUAUCAAGCCUCCCCCAAUCCCAGGUAGUCUAGGAUCACAGAGGCGCCUUGGUCGCAGCUAGCUGUUUUUGCUGACCCCAAGGGAGAAUCUUCUCCACUUGUGGUGAAAAUAUCAAAGAGCACUGCCACGGAGCUCCGUCUGCAGCCGAGGAUGGUUGAGAAGGAACUGAGGGGACAGUGGGGGGAGCGUGAGCUGCAGGAGGUGCCAACGGCUGCACGAGACUACUACUGUGUGCUCCCUUCCCCCAACCAAGUACUGCUGCGAGAAAUCUCCGAUCUCUGGCGCAGGGAUGCACCGACGCCUACAGUGGAGGAUCCACAGGGAAAACACUCAAAGAAGAAUACUUACUUCUGCUCUUCUACUGCUGCCAGUUCACCUUUGCAUGUAUCCACACACAUGCUUGAUUUGCACACCAUUAUCAGGAAAGCGGGGGAAUAAAAAGUCACCAGAUUAAGCCUGUUUAGCAACAAUAUUAAAUACCAGACUCAACAGGGUUCCUCAAACGUCGCAUCACAGAGAAACCAUACAUUGCAUCAAUUGCUGACAAUAGUUUUUUCAUAAUUCAGUUGCCUUAUGUAGAAAGGCAGGUUCUGCCAUGAAACCUGCAGCUGAAAUAGGAUAAUGGAUUGCCACUCAGCACAGAUACUUUUAAAAGUCUCCAGUAUGUAACAAGUUACUUGACUCAAGAGGGGAGGACAUCAAAUUUGGAGCAUGGCCAAAAGUUAUAAAACCAGAAUACAAGCCUUUUCAGCAGUGAUGUAUUUUUUUUUUUUUUUUUUUUUUAAACACACACACACACACACACACAGAGGAACUAAUUAAUGGACUCAGACCAAGACCAUCAAGUUUCAUCCUGAUAUAAAUUUCCUUUUAGGGAAAUUAUAAAAGUGAGACUAUUUACACAAUUGCCACAUGUGUAAAUUAGCAUUCCCACAAUGCUAACAUGCAGAGGAAUCAAAUUUUAGCAAUUGUUUAUCAAUAACGUUGAACUAGCAGCAGAGUUUCAGAUCAAACAGACUGAUUUAUUUGGAAAACCCUCCCUUUUGGCAUCAGCAAUGAUCCAGUCAGUGCAAAGCGAACUGUAAAGUAUUUCAAAUAAUUUUGCAGAAGUUAAAACAGAAAAAGAUGCUAAACAUUUGGCAUUUAUUCACAACAUGCAGUUUUAAAUCACCCAGUGAGAACCACUUGGUAUGAGUGUGCUUGCCCACAUUUACUAAAAGUACAUACAUUUGAAAGAGAAAUAUUACUAAAGCCAAUUUGCUGUAAGUGCUUUCUCCACAGUAGCUCCCUAAACUAAAUAUAUAUAAUAGGUAUCACCUACAGUCAGAGGUAAUUUUAACAUAGGCAUGUAAUAUCUUGAACAUCAAACUUGUUUCACAUGCUAGACAGUGCUCCCAGAAUAAGGAUCUGUCUGCAAAAUAACUGAAAAACAGGAUGGGGAAGGCAUUGUUAAAACGUGGUUUCUUUUUUUCUGUUUGGAUUUAAAAUGUAUAUGCAUACACAUUCCCUAAAAGAGAAUUGUCUCAUUUACAGAUGCAUAUACAUAUUCCCUAAAACAGUCUUGUCUGUGUGGACAUAAAAAUGUAUUAUAGCCAUGUUUAACCCAAGUAGGCUAAAACCUAGGCUAAAAACUCACUAACACGGUUAGAUGACUAGUGUACACAGGGGGAAAAAAAACCAUGUUAUAACAGUUCAGGUACCACCAUGCAGAGUUCUGAAAUAUAAGCUAAGUGAAAAACUUCAUCACUGAAAUUUCAAGCCCUACUAAAUAAGCUGAUCUCCUUGCCAUUGAAAUAUUUUAGUUUAACUGAGAUCGUCGUUUACAGUAAUUUAAAUAUACUAAUCUUGCUGAUGGCAGAAUGCUCAAACUGUCUGUCGGGAUCUUGCAAUAGGAGUGAUUUAACAUACUCAAUAUUGAGCAUAUAGCAUUCUUUGGCCAGGGACUAUGGAUAGAAGAGAAGAGACACUAUUUUGCAUCGUUGAUGCCCUGUCUUUUGGAUAAGUUUAAGCCCAGGUCAUUUCUGCCUGACUGUUUUAAUGACUGCAGAGAAGGAGGAUAAAGAUUGUCUGAAAAAGGGAUAACUCAGUCAUCCUUAUGUAAGCACUAGGAGAUAAAUCAUCAUGCAAAUCAUGCAGGAUCAGAGGAGAAAGGGGAAGAAAAGCAAGACAUUCAGGAACACUUCUCAAAAUAUUGGGGAAAAUGAGUUCUGUUUCUUUAAGUUUGAAGAAAUCAUACACCUCACAAUGCAAAGAAAUUUUCUUACUUCACAGAAAACUUCCUUCCAAGACUGUCACCUCCUUUAUAUAAACAGGAUUCAGAAGCAGAAAGAUUGCUAUUAGCAUGUUUGCAUCCAGAGGCAAAGUUAGAUGCUCUAAUACUAACUGUAAUACUCAAAAGAUAACUAAUUGUACCAGUUUAAUUAGAAGCCAAUAAGUGAUCUUUUAGUGGAAGACAUCACUUUCUAAUUUAAAACUCUAUACUGAAAUGCCAGAAAGAUGCGUAUUAACCCAGUGGAUCUCAACACAGGUACACUGUGGGAUUAUGGGUCAAUAGCAAUCCUAGGACUCUGCUGAAGCUGAUAAAGGCUGGAAUCCUCCUGCAAACCAAUUUAAAGACAGCAUGGCCCCAGACAUAGACGCUAUGCUGAGAGUAAGACAACUUGGGUGAACUUGGCACAAGUCACUUCCCCUCUUUGAUGCUCAGUUUUCCUGAUGGUAAAAUGGGGGUGAUGCCUAACUAGCUUUUGGAUGCACUUUGAGACAUACAAAGAGUGCUAAGUGUCAUCAUCACACAAGGAGUCACAGGGAGUGAUGAUGAUUAGAUAGUGAGUCACUAUAUUGAUUACUAGAAAUUCAAGAGACCCAACAUUAGUGGAUAAGUGACCACAAACUUGAGCUGUGUGUUAGCUUUAACAGUCAGAACUGUUUCUGUACAAACAGCUUUCCCAUAAUAAAGAGAUUCAUGUUUAUUCAAAUAUUUUUUUGGUGCUGACUCACUCGUCACCUUGGUCAAAAAGCUUUACACUUCUGUGACUCAGUUUGCUCACCUGUAAAAUAACGUACAUAACUCAAGAUGCUUUAUUGCUGAAGAAAGUCAUUUGAGAGUCUCUGAAAAAUACUUAGUGCCAAGUAUUAAAACACAAAACUGAUACAACCCAGUUGUAAAUUCUAAGUUCUAAUUAACAAUUACCACAUAUUAACCAAAUUCUAUUAAGUAAAGUUACACUGCAAACAAGAGUUAUUUGCACAGGUUUAUAAGAAAGCAAGCUUAAGUUUUCAAGCGUAAUUAGUAAUAUUGUGUGUGCAACUUGAAACUGCAAAGGGUUUUGAUUUUCAAUGAUCAGAUAUGCAGCACUUGUGAACAUCAGGCCCCCUUUCUAGUAUCUCAAGCUGGGAGCCCCACAUUCAAAAUCAGUUCGCUUUGAAAGUGCAGGCCAGCGUUAUUGAGAACACCUUAUCUGUAGUCGUUCUCAGAAAGUUUUAACCGACCUUCACAUGUGAAAUAAGGACACCCUUUUAUAGAUAAGGCCAGAAGAGACCACUUAUCUAGUCUAGCCUCCUGUGUAAUACAGGCCACAGACCUUCCUUGAAUCAAUUCCCCUUGAUGAUCCAGCCCUCACUUUUGCCCCUUCUUUAUUAACCCUUUGGAAAGACACCAGCUGAAAAACAGCUUAAAUAAAAAGGGAUUUUAGUAUUUUCCUGCAAUUCAACAUCCUCAGGUCAACAGGAAACCCAGAACUUUUAAGGUGGGGAACACUGGUUUAAGGGUGCCAUAUCAACAUUUAUGGAUUAGUUUCACAAUCUGUGUCUGUCCUUAACCACUUCAGAAACCAGAAAAUAGCAAGAACUGGAAAUGGAUAAGCCAGAGAGAAGAGCAACAUUACUUCCAAAAACAGGGAUCUAUUGUAAAAUAUGGAAAAAGUACUCUUACUCAUGAGAGAAAUUCAAGUAGGCAUUCCUAUUUCUAGCAGAUAGUUCACAGAAAGUGAAUAAAAAUACGAAAUCCCUCUGGAUUCCGUAUUGCUUGAGGCCAGAACGUGUGUGUGUAAAAAGCACAGUGCCUAUAAGAGGCAUUCUUUGUAACUAUGAGGUGUAAGAUCUCAUAGCAUAGAAACAGAUCUCGUAAUAAAGUGGAAGUUCAACUCCAAAUAAGUGGUAAGAAACUAUUGCAAACAUCUGAGAAGCCACACAAUCUUUACAACAUUUCAUUCUAAGCUGUCUUUGAAGUAAAUAGUGAAUUUUUUUAAAUGUGGCUUACUUUGGACACAAUGGGUUCUCAGACACAUCCAACUGCAGGAUUGAGGCCUGAAUUUACAACAGGAUGUACCAACCCUAUUUUUCAUUACACUCCAGUUGUUUACAGUAUUAUUUUCUUCCUUGUUGACUAGUUUCCACCUUACUUGGGAGUUAAAAUAAAACGGUUGGAAUAAGACUGACACAUUCAGUUUGAAUAGUAGCCACUGCAUUUGGUUACACAUUUAUUCUACAAGUGUGGAGAAAGGAUGACAGGUACAAAUUCUCAGAUUAAAUUGUGUGUGAGAGAUCCAUUCACAUGUACAAAUCCAAUGCCUCAUUUGCUUAUGGAGU